rnacentral:rRNA from 1 species
CGUGGGGCCUGCGUUCCAUGCAGUCGACGAACCCUUCGGGGUUAGUGGCGCACGGGUGCGUAACGCGUGGGAACCUGCCUUUAGGUUCGGAAUAACAGUUAGAAAUGACUGCUAAUACCGGAUAAUGUCUUCGGACCAAAGAUUUAUUGCCUUUAGAUGGGCCCGCGUUGGAUUAGAUAGUUGGUGGGGUAAUGGCCUACCAAGUCGACGAUCCAUAGCUGGUCUGAGAGGAUGAUCAGCCACACUGGGACUGAGACACGGCCCAGACUCCUACGGGAGGCAGCAGUGGGGAAUAUUGGACAAUGGGCGAAAGCCUGAUCCAGCAAUGCCGCGUGAGUGAUGAAGGCCUUAGGGUUGUAAAGCUCUUUUACCAGGGAUGAUAAUGACAGUACCUGGAGAAUAAGCUCCGGCUAACUCCGUGCCAGCAGCCGCGGUAAUACGGAGGGAGCUAGCGUUGUUCGGAAUUACUGGGCGUAAAGCGCACGUAGGCGGCUUUUCAAGUCAGGGGUGAAAUCCCGGGGUUCAACCCCGGAAGUGCCCUUGAAACUGGAUGGCUAGAAUACUGAAGUAGGCGAGUGGAAUUCCGAGUGUUUUUGUGAAGGUCGUACAUUUUUCGGAAUAACUUCAGUGGCUAAA